CUCUCCAAUGUCGCCGCUGGGUGCUUUCACUAACUCCACCUUCCUCCUUCUUAUGCGAAAGGAUCAUUAACAUCUUCCUCCUCUUUAUACCACAAUUCAUCUUUCUCAGCUCGCAAAAGAUAUUUGCUCCAGUGGAUGAAAUGGUUAUCAACGUGGUUUUGAUAGAGCGGCAAAAGGUCAUCUCCUCUACUGUAGCUUCGAAUAGAAAAGGAAAACCUCGUAAAAAUCACCGGAUUCAAGCUUUGUCCAUGUGAUUUUCAAUACUAAUGGCCUCCAAAAUAUCCUCCAUUUCUCUUUCAGUCUGAAAAGUGUCUUUUUGCAGAUAUUUGCUCCAGUGGAUGAAAUAGUUACCAACGCGGUUUUGAUAGAGCGGCAAAAGGUCAUCUCCUCUACUGUAGCCUCAAAUAGAAAAAGAAAAACUCGUAAAAAUCAUAAAAUUCAAGCUUUGUCCGUGAGAUUUUCACUACUAAUAUUUUCAAAAACAUCCUCCAUCUCUCUUUUAGUCUUAAAAGGUAACCCCAUCUCCCUUC